ACAGAGGAGCCCUUCUCAAUCUGAGGCAAGAGCAGCUUCAACCAUGCACUCCCUCCUCAACUGACCCUGGCACGCAUCCUAAGAGGAUCCUACAGAGGAGAACGUGGUGAGAGAUGAGAGUGACACUGUCCCUCAGGAAGCAAAACAUCAACCUACAGAGACUCUGACUCACGACCAGACUUAUGAAUCAGAGAGUGAACAGACAGCUGAGGAGAAGAUGGAGUGGACUGGCCAUGACAGAGCUGAAGUAGUGUGCAUUGAGGUGGAGAACCUGCAGCUACCGCCAGACUCAUGGGGAGAGACUCCAUCAAGCUGCAGGAAAUCCUUAAUAUCAAACAUGCAGGAAGAACGAUGGAGAAUCUGGUGGAGAAAUCUCUUUCCCCGUUUCCCUCCUAAUGAAGAUCAGAGAGAUCUGCACUAGUGCAUUGCACUAUCUGCACUAAUUAUUAAAAUAAUGCUUACAUGUAUUGUUCCAGCUCUGAAAUUUAGACAUCAUAAGCCAUUAUAAAGCACUCAAUAUACUGAAUGCGAAU